rfam:Lactobacillus thailandensis DSM 22698 = JCM 13996 strain DSM 22698 Scaffold1, whole genome shotgun sequence.
UAAUCUCCGACUUUUAUCAGGUGCGUGGUUGCCGGUUUGAUAAAAGUUUGCGACUAAGGUCCACUAGCGUAUCAUCUCGCCGUGCUUAGCACCGAGGUGGUCCGCUUUUUU